rnacentral:rRNA from 1 species
GACGAACGCUGGCGGCGUGCCUAACACAUGCAAGUCGAGCGAAUGAAGUUCCUUCGGGACUGGAUUUAGCGGCGGACGGGUGAGUAACACGUGGGCAACCUGCCUCAUAGAGGGGAAUAGCCUUCCGAAAGGGAGAUUAAUACCGCAUAAGAUUGUAGUAUCGCAUGAUACAGCAAUUAAAGGAGCAAUCCGCUAUGAGAUGGGCCCGCGGCGCAUUAGCUAGUUGGUGAGGUAACGGCUCACCGAGGCGACGAUGCGUAGCCGACCUGAGAGGGUGAUCGGCCACAUUGGGACUGAGACACGGCCCAGACUCCUACGGGAGGCAGCAGUGGGGAAUAUUGCACAAUGGGGGAAACCCUGAUGCAGCAACGCCGCGUGAGUGAUGACGGCCUUCGGGUUGUAAAGCUCUGUCUUCAGGGACGAUAAUGACGGUACCUGAGGAGGAAGCCACGGCUAACUACGUG